rnacentral:rRNA from 1 species
AGUGAACGCUGGCGGUAGGCCUUACACAUGCAAGUCGAACGGUAACAGGUCUUCGGAUGCUGACGAGUGGCGAACGGGUGAGUAAUACAUCGGAACGUGCCUAGUAGUGGGGGAUAACUACUCGAAAGAGUGGCUAAUACCGCAUGAGAUCUACGGAUGAAAGCAGGGGAUCGCAAGACCUUGUGCUACUAGAGCGGCCGAUGGCAGAUUAGGUAGUUGGUGGGAUAAAAGCUUACCAAGCCGACGAUCUGUAGCUGGUCUGAGAGGACGAUCAGCCACACUGGGACUGAGACACGGCCCAGACUCCUACGGGAGGCAGCAGUGGGGAAUUUUGGACAAUGGGCGAAAGCCUGAUCCAGCAAUGCCGCGUGCAGGAUGAAGGCCUUCGGGUUGUAAACUGCUUUUGUACGGAACGAAAAGCCCCGGGUUAAUACCCCGGGGUCAUGACGGUACCGUAAGAAUAAGCACCGGCUAACUACGUGCCAGCAGCCGCGGUAA